rnacentral:lncRNA from 1 species
CCAUGAUGUGAAAACUGAAGCUGGAGGGAGCUGUUGAUACAACUGGAACCCCUGUUGACAAGGAAGAAGCAGAAGGGCUAUGGUGUCUGAUGUCUUCAGUAACUGUGUUCGAGGACACACUUGACAAGUGCUUUCAAGUCUGCUAACUGGAUUGUUUUGGAAAAUCUCAGCUUAACUCUUAAAAUCUUAUCUGCUUAAUUGCAACUGUGUCGAUAUUUUAAAUGGGUGUUUGUAUUAUGUAAGGACCAGAACCUUUGGAAACCCUGCCAUUAAGGUAAUACCAGAGAAGGAGAGAGAAAAAGAGACAGAGAGACAGAGACAAGAGAGGUGUGUGGCUGAAGAUUGGUAGAGCAAGAAAACAGCUCCAACAGGGCCUGGUUGUAACAGAAUGGCCUCCUGUAUGCUUUAAUGGGAAUUACCGGGAUAGACACACGCCCUAGACAAACACUUUCCCCACAAUGGAAUCCCUGCCAAGAAGACAGCUCCACGGCCAGCACCAGCACCCCAGCACCCCCACCUCUUCAUCCUUGGAGUAAGAAAACCCAGACAUCUAUCUGGACCUGAAACUGCCUUUGCUUGAGAAAGCAUGAACCUCUGAGACAAGAGAGGAAAUGCUGUAGACAAUAGCAGAAGUUGUGCAGUCCACAAAUGCUCAGCUCUUCACCACACCCAUUGGUGGAAUUUGUUACCAGUAAACACUCAUUGCUCUAAGCACCAUUAUUUAUUAGAGAUGAAAGAAAAAAUCGUCUGCUUUUAAAGUCAGCUUAGCUCCAAAUAUAAUACAUAGGAAAAUUGGAUAUUUUUGCUUUUCUGAGCUAGAAACUAGUCAGGGAAACCCUUUGCUACCUAAAGAUUGCUCUUUUCUGUGUACCUUGAGCACAAUUUCUUCCUUGAAGCUCCAAGAUGGGCAUUAUUUCAAAUCGGAUUGUAAAGUAAUCAGGGCAGGGAACACGAUGGAAACUCAUGGAACACUGUUUGGAAAUCUUACCACAAUUCUUUAGGAGUUAUACCUAUAAAUGAAAUCUCAAUGUUUAGUCUUAAACUUACUAAGCAACAAGAAAUGUUUAACAUCUAACCUAGGUAAAAGAAUGAUGAAAAGAAUAAUAAAGAAUAAAGAAAAAGAACAGUGAGAGUACCAGCCACAUUCCACAUCCUGAAGAGGUUCCUUCAGUCUUACCCAGCCUGUCUCCUCAUAAGUGAAGCUGCUAUAAUUCUCAGAACUUCAGAAAUCUCUCAGGCUCUUCUCCUUCCUUUCAGGGUAUCUCUUGACUCAAUUCAGUAGCUGCAUAUCUGCCUCUCUCUGACUCUUGUCUGGUGAUGAGCAGAGUAUUCCGCCUUCUCGGCUAUCAAACAUUACUCACUUCAGGAGGCUGUGGGCUCCCCUGGGUUCAUGUUCUGCAGCCUAGAGGCCAAAUAAUGCCCCUCCCAUCACCCUGGAACCUGGUGCAUUACCUAUGCUUCCACCUAUUUGGAAGAAAAAGUCAGAUCUUGUCCUUACUGCUUACUCCUUACUUAAGCCCUCUGAGUUUCAGUUUUCUCUUCUAUAAAAUGGGCUAGACCUAGCCAUGCCAAAUGGUUGCUAGGUUUAGAAAUACUUCAUGUGGAACCCCCGGAACAAGGUUUAAAAUGUAUUAGGUACUCCAUAAACAGUAAUAAAAAUAACAGAAAGAAUAAUAAUGACAAUAAUAAAUUAGAAGUAAACAAUUCCGCAUUAUGAAACAAGCACUAACUCCAUAAACAAAAAACUGGUCACCUAUUGGAAUAUAUGAGAUGAUAGAAGUCAUAGGAGCCAGAAAAUUUUUAAAUAUUCAACCAAAUCCUUACAAAUAUCCCAUGAGGUAGUAUGAUCAGCAUUUUCCACAUGAGGAAACUGAGGCAUGGAAGGACUAAAUAAUUCACCCAACGCCCUAACCCUUUUUUGACCCCAGUUUGCUCUGACCCUGAAACCCAUGCUUUUAUUUCACCAUUCUAUUCCUUUUAGACUGAGAAAUCUGUCUUCAUCUCAGUACUGGAGAAGUAGACGAAGGGCUUCUGCUAUUGAAAGUCAUCCUGAUUCAGUUUGAAGUGCCCUAGAGAGAGUUUCCAAGGUUCAGCAUCUCAUACAAGGACUCCACAAUCCUUCCCCUCCAGAAUCCACUCGUUAAAAUCAUGAUGGAGUCCACCUUGGUCUUUG